UACGUAGGGUGCAAGCGUUGUCCGGAAUUAUUGGGCGUAAAGAGCUCGUAGGCGGUUUGUCGCGUCUGCUGUGAAAACUCGGGGCUCAACUCCGAGCUUGCAGUGGGUACGGGCAGACUAGAGUGCGGUAGGGGAGACUGGAAUUCCUGGUGUAGCGGUGGAAUGCGCAGAUAUCAGGAGGAACACCGGUGGCGAAGGCGGCAUCCUGGACCGACACUGACACUGAGGAGCGAAAGCCAGGGGAGCAAACGGG
rnacentral:rRNA from 1 species